rnacentral:rRNA from 1 species
UACGGGGGGGGCAAGCGUUGUUCGGAAUUACUGGGCGUAAAGGGCGCGUAGGCGGCCCGCUAAGUCGAACGUGAAAUCCCCGGGCUCAACCCGGGAACUGCGUCCGAUACUGGUGGGCUCGAAUCCGGGAGAGGGAUGCGGAAUUCCAGGUGUAGCGGUGAAAUGCGUAGAUAUCUGGAGGAAUACCGGUGGCGAAGGCGGCAUCCUGGACCGACAUUGACGCUGAGGAGCGAAAGCUAGGGGAGCAAACGGG